rnacentral:misc_RNA from 1 species
UGAGUUUGAAGGGUUAUUGUUGUUGCCAUUUUGGACAGCCAUGGGUCACGUUUUUGAUGAGGUAUUUGUGUAUAUAAUUGAUGAGAAAUAAUGUUAAUCAUGGUGAUUUAGUAACCUAGUGAUUUAAUGCAUGUAUAUAUGGUGAAUGACGCACUUUGAUGGGAAUUGGCAUAUGGUACGGCAAUGUGAUGUUGAUGAGUGAUUUGUGGCAGCUUGUGGACACUUGAGAAAUGG